GACGAACGCUGGCGGCGUGCUUAACACAUGCAAGUCGAACGAAGUGGCGAACGGGUGAGUAACGCGUAAUCAACCUGCUCUUCAGCGGGGGACAACAGUUGGACACGACUGCUAAUACCGCAUACUGUAGGUGGGGCUUGCGUCGGUUGAGCUGGUUGGGGGGGUAACGGCCCACCAAGGCGAAGAUCAGUAGCCGGUCUGAGAGGGUGAACGGCCAAAGUGGGACUGGGACACGGGCCAGAAUCCUACGGGAGGCAGCAGUGGGGAAUCUUCCGCAAUGGACGAAAGUCUGACGGAGCAAAGCCGCGUGAGUGAUGACGGCCUUCGGGUUGGAAAGCUCUGUUAAUCGGGACGCGGUACCGGAAUAGAAAGCCACGGCUAACUACGUGCCAGCAGCCGCGGUAAUUC
rnacentral:rRNA from 1 species